CAAGGCCUGUAUGUCCUGAGUGAAGGGAGGAGAAAAAGAAGAGAGAGGCAGACCUCGUUAUCCGUGGAGGGAGGAGUGUGACUAUCUUAGUUAAACGUUUUACAAAGUUUUUGCUGUUCAACAUCAGGAAGUUCUACCUUGUGGUUUGGGAAGCCAUGGAGCUCCCAGUUGCUGGCCACAAAUGUUUUCUGCGUUUUCUGGCACUGAGAGGCAGCGGCAGACAACCACUCUUUCCAGCAACAGUCUGGCACCCAUGAGAUAAACAGAAAAAUAAACCGAGUCAGGAAUUGAGUCUAGAGUGCAAAUAGAGGAAAGGAAUUUCAAACACUGUGCUCUUCAUUCUCAAGUUUCUAUUCAAAACUGGAUGGAAGAACCCUGGAUCCACAGGUGUAGUCAUGAUGCAUCGCACGCAAGGAAUUUGAGUUUCUGCAUCAGCUACAGUUCUUUGCAGGAUAAUUGAUCAUCAGCUUGCUGUGCUGGACAGACACAAAAAUGAAACCAUAUUCUUUGGCCAACAAUAACAGUACCCAUUCAGUGCCAAUUCCUUGAUGAAGGUUUUGUUCUUUGUUGAUUUUAAUCGGUAGCUCAAGACUCAUAAUUGGUUGUGCUGCAUGAACCUAUGGUGGUAUGCAGUGAUAACACCAUUACCUCAUUUUUGUUGUUUUUGUUGGCACUAUUCAUCGUUAUUUUAAAGAGAAAGGUGGAACAUGGGGAGUCCUUACUGCAACCAUAUGCCAAUGUGUGCCACCUUGUGCAAAAGUGCCCUGUGUCUACAUGCAUGUAGGUGCACAGGCUGUGCUCAACUCACCCACAUUACCUUGCACAGUAUGUCAGCCAGGGACAGAAAGGGAGGACAAAAGUGAGAGAGGAAACAAGAAAAGAUGGAAAAAGAAGGAGUGGAGUUCCAGUGAACAAAAUGGAGUUCCAGUGAAAUCAAUGGAGCACCUUAGGCCACAUGGAAACAAAUUAGGACUUUUAUCAGAGCAAAUGAUGAUAAACGGCUUGCAUUGUAUCUCUCUUCCUGCCCCC